GCCGAACGCUUUCUUCGUGCCUAAUACAUGCAAGUUGAGCGCUGAAGGUUGGUACUUGUACCAACUGGAUGAGCAGCGAACGGGUGAGUAACGCGUGGGGAAUCUGCCUUUGAGCGGGGGACAACAUUUGGAAACGAAUGCUAAUACCGCAUAAAAACUUUAAACACAAGUUUUAAGUUUGAAAGAUGCAAUUGCCUCACUCAAAGAUGAUCCCGCGUUGUAUUAGCUAGUUGGUGAGGUAAAGGCUCACCACGGCGAUGAUACAUAGCCGACCUGAGAGGGUGAUCGGCCACAUUGGGACUGAGACACGGCCCAAACUCCUACGGGAGGCAGCAGUAGGGAAUCUUCGGCAAUGGACGAAAGUCUGACCGAGCAACGCCGCGUGAGUGAAGAAGGUUUUCGGAUCGUAAAACUCUGUUGGUAGAGAAGAACGUUGGUGAGAGUGGAAAGCUCAUCAAGUGACGGUAACUACCCAGAAAGGGACGGCUAACUACGUG
rnacentral:rRNA from 1 species